CAGUCGCCGCGGUAAUACGGAGGGUGCGAGCGUUAAUCGGAAUUACUGGGCGUAAAGCGUACGCAGGCGGUUUGUUAAGUCAGAUGUGAAAUCCCCGAGCUUAACUCGGGAACUGCAUUUGAAACUGGCAGGCUAGAGUCUCGUAGAGGGGGGUAGAAUUCCAGGUGUAGCGGUGAAAUGCGUAGAGAUCUGGAGGAAUACCGGUGGCGAAGGCGGCCCCCUGGACGAAGACUGACGCUCAGGUACGAAAGCGUGGGGAGCAAACAGGAUUAGAUACCCCAGUAGUCCCUGUCUCUUAUAC
rnacentral:rRNA from 1 species